rnacentral:lncRNA from 1 species
AUCAAUUCAAGAUGAAUUAAAGGCUUAAAUUUAAAACCUAAAACUAUUAGGUUGGUGCAAAAGUAAUUGCUGGGCCGGGCCUGGUGGUUCACGCUUGUAAUCCCAGCACUUUGGGAGUCUUAGCCUGGAUGGUCUCGAUCUCCUGACCUCGUGAUCUCCCUGCCUUGGCCUCCCAAAGUGCUGGGAUUACAGGCUCUUACUCUUUUUAAGACUGAAUAUUAUUCCAUUGUAUCUGUGUAUGACAUUUUUUUCUCCAUUCAUA